AGGAGCACUUCUUUUGGACCUGAGGAGUGCUGUAUAGUCAGAGAGCUCCUUCAUCUCUUGGCCCUUUAUUACACCAAUGCAGUGAAGCUUGUUUACUGGCACGGAAAAUUCUGCAUGGAAGCACUAAAACAUCACCCAGGAUGUCCUGACAAAGGGGGAGGAGCUUGGCCAGCGUGACAGCAAGAUGCAAUUUACUGCUGGAAUGUCUACAAGAGCAUGUGCUUAUUUGUUACACAUGGAAGAAUGGAAGUCUGAUGGUGAAGAAGAAUCAGGAAAUCGCCUGAUCACCAGCACAGGGCCAACAUGGUUGAAAACAGCAGGAUUGAGAACAAUUAUAUCAGUGGCUGCAUGCAGAUUGGAUACACACCAAGUCUUUACUCAGAAGUUAUUGCAUAAAUACACAACAGAAACUGAAGCUGACAAAAAGAAGCAAUUAAUAUUUCCAUUUUGGAAGAAUUGUCAUUGUGUUACUCUGAUUUGUAAAUCUUAGCAAUGUUACUGGACCUCUCUAUGUGGGUUUCUUCUAAUGAGUGUUAGAUGUUAACUGUUGGGUCCAGUCUGGACAUCUGUGACAGUCUGGAGUGUAACUGAAAUGUUUCCUAGUUGAGCACUUCUCUGAGCUAUGAAAUCAUCAAGCUAUGAUACAUACCUGAUAUAUAAUCAGCAACUCACAGCAUGGCAUUGUUGAGGAUUCAACUGGCAUGAAAACAGUACGGAAUUGCUCUGAGAAAAGUAAUCUGUGAUCAGCUACAGGAGGGAAAUGUCCAUUUUAUGUGACUUUACAAUGAAAUGUUCACAGAAGAAUGAAGAGGAAGUUUGUAAGUGUAGUCUGUAUUGUUUCAGAAGGAGAAAAGCAAUCCAUGAUUUGCUUAUCCAUUAUUUUUUUUUCCCCUAGAGGUAUAUUCAAAAUGUGUAUUUUAAAACUGCGGAAAUUAGAAGACUGUAAUGGAAAAUGUAAUUUUAGACUUGGGACCUUUCUUAAGAACUUGCUGCAUUUCAUGUUUUUGAUCAGUUUUUCAAGCAACGGUACACUGGACUAACAAAGAUUUGUGGAGCAGAUUUUUGAAAUUGAUUAACCAAAAGGUGUGAUUAGCUAUUGUCCCUUUCUCUUUCAUUUCUCUGAGGUACUUUCUAUCUUGCAUGGUACAUUUCCUAGUGCAAAAUAUAUUGUCUACCUCAAAGGCAACUUAAUCAGUACAUAGUGCCCAUUAUUUUGAACUUAUUGCUAAACUCAGUAGGAAUAUUAAUAUUUCCUGUGACCUAUUAUUUGAUCUUUCCAUUUAUUACCCUGCAGUUGAGUUAUAAGCUCACAUAGAAAAUGCCUGUUUGUUUAAUCUGCAAAGCAUUCAGAGCUUUUUUGGCACUGAGUAAAAAAUCAGCAGUAAGUCACAAAUAUUUGUAAACCUUUAAAGGAAUUCCAACAGCAAAAAAAAAAAAAAAGAAAAAAAGUACAGCUUACAGGAUCCAUUGCUAAUAAAUAUUUUUCCAAAAUUGGAGCAAAUAUUUGCAAUCUAUAGUGCAGUCUUUUGAGGUGAUUAUUGUAACCUGGCAGCAGCAAUUUGCAUUUCAAUAUAUGAGUAAGGGAUUUUAAAUAUUCAUAAAUAUCUACUAAAAAUUUGAGCAAUGCCUUUUCCAGUGGUGAGCAACAGCAGCAUUUAAACUAGGCUAACGUUGCUAACUAUGAGACCCAUUUUCUUUGGUAUUUCACCAGUGUCAGAUUUAACUUAUUACUUUCCUCAGUGAUUAAAUAGUAGUGUGGCUGGAUGAAAAGCUGUAUAGUAAAACUACUGACUACUUAAAAAGAUGAUGAAAUAGAAAAUUUGAAAUUGUUUCUAGGGUCAGGAAAUGUAUACUUAGCUUGAACUACUAAUACCUAGGCAGUAAAAUGGUAAGAUUUUCUCAGUAGAAAGAGAAAAUCUUGGACUAAAGCCUUGGAAAAUUACACAUUCAGAAAAUUUUAAAUGGAAAUUGCACUAUUUCUUAGCACAGCUGUGGCAUCUUCCUUAAAGCCUUGUGUAACCUGUUCCGUUAAGUCAAGGAGCCAUAUGAGGAACGGCAGUGUAAAAAAGAAUUGCAGGCAUGGAAAUUGAUAGUUGUCUUGUUCAUUUUCUAUUAAACCAUGUGUGCCCAUCAGUGAAUCUCUCACUAACACGGGGUAUUUCCACUCAAAAAGGAGCAGUGCCAACUUACAUGCCCACAGCUUUUUUUCCAACUAUAUAUUCAAAUCUCUCUAAAAGCUUUAAAAAAAACUUAGGGAUCUGUUUUACAGUCUCACCUAAGGCAAUGCUGAUCUUAAUACAGCUCUGAGGCUCUCUUGUUUCCUAGGUAUCAGGGUGUUUCAGUGUUCCGAACUGCUCAGAGGAGGAAAACAGAGCUUUAGCGUUGGUAUGGUAUACUGCAAAACCAGUAGCUGCAGGAGACUGAUAUGGUAUGGGAGUGUCCAUGUAGUUGAUGUGAAUUUAUUUUUUAAAUCUCAUUUGGUGAGUUGGCCCCAGCCAACAGCUG